GGCCACAUGUGUGGCAUAUGAAAUUCCCAGGCUAGGGGUCAAAUCAGAAUUACAGCUGCCGGCCUACACCAUAGCCACAGUAAAGCAGGAUCCGAGCCACGUCUGGGACUAUAUAACCACAGCUCACGACAAUGCCAGAUCCUUAACCCACUGAACGAGGCCAGGGAUCAAACCUGCAUCCUCAUGGAUUCUAGUUGGGUUCAUUACCCCUGAGCCACAACGGGACCUCCAGGAAUUCUACUUCUUGAUUUUGGCUGAAGUGUAUGUGCUAAGUUUACUCUAAUGGAUAGAGGAUAUUAAACAGGCUUUGAUUUAGAAGGUGUCUCAGUUCACUUCUAGAUGAAGUCUACCUUGUGAGUUCGACUGGGAAAGUUUCUUGAGAUUUCCACCCUGGUGUAUAUUUUCAUAUAUUGUGGUGCUAAAGAACAUUCAGAAUUUCUGUUCUGCCACUUAUGCAGACAGAUCUUAGGAAAAUUUCCUUGAGCCUGGUUACUUCACUUGUAGCCUAGCCUGGGGAUCUUCUUUUUUUUUUUUUUCCUUGACAACACCUUUAAUUCAUGUUUUUCAAAAAACGGCGCAGAUGCAAAAUUACUCCAAUAGUCAAGAUUUUUCUUUACAAAAAUUCUUUGUAAAUAUAAAUAGCACAUCAUAAGGAGAGUUUUUUAAUUGAUAUUUUCCCUCUUAACCAUACCCAUUAGCCUUGAGAAAACUGUAAAACAGUUGAAAAGUAAGCAGAAAAUAUAAUAAAUCAAGAGGGAUAUAGCCUCAUCAUAUAUAUAUGGUUUUUUUUGGCUGCACCUGCAGCAUGUGGAAGUUCCACGCCAGGAACUGAAAUCUGAGUGGCAGCUGUGAUCUUACUACUCCCCUCCCCUCCCCUCAAGGUUUCCUAAAAACAAAAUGAGUUGGCACAGUGUCGGAGGGAUAGGGGCUCUCAGUAAAUAACAGCUCUUAUUGUAUACUCCAAAGAGUCUAUUGGGAAACUGGCUCCACAGAGGUUCAAACCAUGGGUUUUCCUGUGUGACUGCAUCACCAGGUAGGACUGAUCAGAGGAUAUAGGUUUUAGUUCACUGUGGUUCACUCUGAGUUGUCACUGGGAAAUUUGUCCCAAUACGGCAAGUAUGCACACCAGUAACAAUGGCCUACAUAUUUGCUGAAAAGCGAUCAAGGCCCUCCGUAUUGGAUGAAAGGCUCUCACAAUAUUCCAGGGGCCUGGAUCCAGCCUUCACGUGUCGCUUUCCACAGCCCUUCUAACUUAAGGUUGCUUGUCCACACACUUCCUUUAGCCUGUGAAUUAUACGUCCAGACAAUGACUCCAGUGUCUAAGAAACAUGCAUGCUUACAACUGGUACACAGCAUGGCUGUGGAGUUGUACUUGAGAGGCUCUGGGAUUAGGCACCCAAAUUCAAAUCCCAGUUUGCAGCAUCAUGUGGCCUCUGCAAGACACUCUGAUCUCCCUGAUCCUUGGCUCCCCCAAGGGAGCUGUUAAAAGUGAAAUGUGGGGAGUUCCCAUUGUGGCUCAGUGGGUUAAGAGACUCACUAGUAUCCAUGAGGAUGUGGGUUCUAUCCCUGGCCUUGCUCAGUGGCCUAAGGAUCUAGCAUUGCUGCAAGCUGUGGCGAGGCCUUGAGGUAGUUGUGGUGUAGGCUGCAGCUCCAAUUCAACCCUUACCUGGGAACUUUCAUAUACCUCAGGUGCAGCCAUAGAAAGAAAAAAAAAAAAAAAAAAGUGAAAUGUGGGAGUUCCCUGGUGGCCUAGUGGUUAGGGGUUAAGAAUCUGGCAUUGUCACUGCAGUGGCUAGGGUUCAAUCCCUGGCCUGGGUACGUCCACAUGCUGUGGAUGAGGACAAAAAAAAGAGCGAAAUAUGACCGUGUACGUUGACUGCUUAGCCCAGGGCCUGGCAGAUAGAAAAGAGUCACUAACUGACAGCCUGUGUCAUUACUGCCGCUGACUUUUUUCAAACACGAUACUUCUUCACUCUGGCCCAGCAAUGAGGAUCUUUUGGAGCUGGUUUUUAACUUUCAGUGAUUAAAAGUUGGAGAAAAUCAUCCACGCUCUCUCAUCGGGUUACUUUUACUUCCACUUAGGAGAGAGCUGGCUAGGGUUGGAGUACAGUUGAGAGCUGCAAAAAAAUUGUUUUCCUGUGAUUGAGGUCUCUGGGGCUGUCAUAAAUCUGAUCUUUUGGUCUCAUUAGGACCAUCCUCUAACCAUGAGAUGGGGGCCCCAAAAGUCCUCUUCGCCUUAUGAAACUUUCAAGAAAUGUAUUGUUCAAACAUAUUCUGGGGAAUGGGGACUCAGAGAGAGUUCUAGAUGAAGAACUACUUUCUCAGUGUAAAAUGAUUAUUCUAAGAAAAUUAUAUGAUAGCAUAUACAUAUUGACAUUUAAAUCACUCAGUGCUCCACUGACACUGACAUAAAACCCUAUAACUAGGGCAAUAAUAGCAUCAUUAUACAUUUUUGCUUCAUUCUUUGGGGCUUUUAAAUUCAAUGCCACAACCAACUGCUUACAAACUGCAAUGGGCAAAAGCAGUG
rnacentral:lncRNA from 1 species